AACCGGAUUAGAUACCCUGUAGUCCCACGCCAUAAAACGAUGUCGACUUGGAGGUUGUUCCCUGAGGGAGUGGCUUCCGGAGCUAACGCGUCAAGUCGAGCCGCCUGUGGAGUACGGCCGCAAGGUUAAAACUCAAAUGAAUUGACGGGGGCCCGCACAAGCGGUGGAGCAUGUGGUUUAAUUCGAUGCAACGCGAAGAACCUUACCUACCCUUGACAUCCAGCGAACUUAGCAGAGAUGCUUUGGUGCCUUCGGGAACGUGAGACAGGUGCUGCAUGGCUGUCGUCAGCUCGUGUUGUGAAAUGUUGGGUUAAGUCCCGCAACGAGCGCAACCCUUAUCCUUUGUUGCCAGCGAUUCGGUCGGGAACUCAAAGGAGACUGCCGGUGAUAAACCGGAGGAAGGUGGGGAUGACGUCAAGUCAUCAUGGCCCUUACGAGUAGGACUACACACGUGCUACAAUGGCGCAUACAAAGAGAAGCGACCUCGCGAGAGCAAGCGGACCUCACAAAGUGCGUCGUAGUCCGGAUCGGAGU
rnacentral:rRNA from 1 species